rnacentral:rRNA from 1 species
UACAGAGGGGGCAAGCGUUGUUCGGAAUUACUGGGCGUAAAGGGCGCGUAGGCGGCCUGCUAAGUCGAACGUGAAAUCCCUGGGCUCAACCCAGGAACUGCGUCCGAUACUGGUUGGCUUGAAUCCGGGAGAGGGAUGUGGAAUUCCAGGUGUAGCGGUGAAAUUCGUAGAUAUUGGGAAGAACACCGGUGGCGAAGGCGGCUAUCUGGCCCGUAAUUGACGCUGAGGCGCGAAAGCGUGGGGAGCAAACAGG